GGUUCAUUCUGGCUCAGGUGAACGCUGGCGGGGAUGCUUUACACAUGCAAGUCAGACGGCAGCACCUGGACUUCGGUCACGGUGGCGAGUGGCGAACGGGUGAGUAAUGUAUCGGAACGUGCCUAGUAGCGGGAGGAUAACUACGCGAAAGCGCCCAGCUAAUACCGCAUACGCCCUUCGAGGAAAGCAGGGGACCUUCGGGCCUCUCUUUACUAUUAAACGGCCGAUAUCGGAUUAGCCAGUUGGUGCUGAAGAUGCUGUCACCAAGGCGACGAUCAUCGCUGGUUUGAGGACGACCAGCCACACUGGGACUGAGAGACACGGCCAGACUCCUGCAGGAGGCAGCAGUGGGGAAUUUUGGACAAGCGUGAAACCACACGUUCCAGCCAUCCCGCGUGUGCGAUGAGCCUUCUGGGUUGUAAAGCACUUUUGGCAGAAGAAACGGCACGGGAUAAUACCCCGUGCAACUGACGUACCUGCAGAAUAAGCACCGGCUAACUACGUGCCGGCAUAUACGGUAAUACGUAAGUGCGUAUUAAUCGGAAUUACUGGGCGUAAAGCGUGCGCAGGCGGUUCGGAAAGAAAGAUGUGAAAUCCCAGAAGCUUAACUUUGGAACUGCAUUUUUGCUACCGAGCUGAAAGAGUGUGUCAGAGGAGGUGGAAUUCCGCGUGUAGCAGUGAAAUGCGUAGAUAUGGGAACACCGAUGGCGAAAAGUAACCUCCUGGGAUAACACUGACGCUCAUGCGAAAGCGUGGGGAGCAAACAAGUUAAAUACCCUGGUAGUCCACGCCUAAACGAUAUCAACUAGCUGUUGGGGCCUUCGGGCCUUGGUAGCGCAGCUAACGCGUGAAGUUGACCGCCUGGGAGUACGGUCACAAGAUUAAACUCAAAGGAAUUGACGGGGGACCCGCACAGAAAAGUUGGAUGAUGUGGAUUAAUUCGAUGCACAACGCGAAAAAGGCACCAUGGGCACAUCUGGAAUCGAAGAGAUUUAGGAGUGCUCGCAAGAGAACCGGAACGCAGGUGCUGCAUGGCUGUCGUCAGCUCGUGUCGUGAGAUGUUGGGUUAAGUCCCGCAACGAGCGCAACCCUUGUCAUUGUUGCCGGUGCUACGAAAGGGCGCUCUAAUGGGGCUGCCGAUGGCAAGCCGGAGGAAGGUGGGGAUGACGUCAAGUCCUCUGGCCCUUAUGGUGAAGACUACCCGUCGCUGCAAUGGUCGCGGUGAAGGGUCGCCAACCCGCGAAGGGGAGCCAAUCCAGAAACCCGAUCGUAGUCCAGUCACCAAGUCUACAGCGAAGCUGCGUGAAGUCAGAUCGCUAGUAAUCACGGAUCGGCAUGUCGCGGUGAACGUUCGGGUCUUGUACACCGCCCGUCACACCAUGGGAGUGGGAUUUUACCAGAAGUAGUUAGCCUAACCGUAAGGAGGGCGAUUACCACGGUAGGAUUCAUGACUGGGGUAGACAGUCGUAACAAGGUAG
rnacentral:rRNA from 1 species